UACAGAGGGUGCAAGCGUUAAUCGGAAUUAUUGGGCGUAAAGCGCAUGUAGGUCGAUAUUUAAGUCGGAUGUGAAAGCCCCGGGCUCAACCUGGGAAAGCCAUUCGAUACUGGAUAUCUAGAGUAUGGUAGAGGGAAGUGGAAUUUCCGGUGUAGCGGUGAAAUGCGUAGAUAUCGGAAAGAACACCAGUGGCGAAGGCGGCUUCCUGGAUCAAUACUGACACUAAAGUGCGAAAGCGUGGGGAGCAAACAGG
rnacentral:rRNA from 1 species